GACGAACGCUGGCGGCGUGCUUAACACAUGCAAGUCGAACGGAAAGGCCCUGCCUUUGUGGGGUGCUCGAGUGGCGAACGGGUGAGUAACACGUGAGUAACCUGCCCUUGACUUUGGGAUAACUUCAGGAAACUGGGGCUAAUACCGGAUAGGAGCUCCUGCUGCAUGGUGGGGGUUGGAAAGUUUCGGCGGUUGGGGAUGGACUCGCGGCUUAUCAGCUUGUUGGUGGGGUAGUGGCUUACCAAGGCUUUGACGGGUAGCCGGCCUGAGAGGGUGACCGGCCACAUUGGGACUGGGCUACGGCCCAGACUCCUACGGGAGGCAGCAGUGGGGAAUAUUGCACAAUGGGCGGAAGCCUGAUGCAGCAACGCCGCGUGCGGGAUGACGGCCUUCGGGUUGUAAACCGCUUUCGCCUGUGACGAAGCGUGAGUGACGGUAAUGGGUAAAGAAGCACCGGCUAACUACGUG
rnacentral:rRNA from 1 species